ACUCCAUGGACUUCAAAUCACUGCCUGGGAAAAUCCUGUGGUUGGAGCUGCAACAGCCUGAUGGAUAAAUCUUCCAUCCUCUUUGCUUCGCCUGGGAUUCUGAAGCAUAUUCACGUAUCAGAAAAGUCUCGGAGAGGAAAUUCUGGAAACCCACUCUGAACUCAGGAAAGGGAGGUACUACCAAGCUUGCUGUGCUGAGGGAAAAUGAAAAAGGCUCCCCUUUGCAUUCGUGCCUGAUUGAAGAUUACCAGGAAAUACAGAAAUGUGGAGCCAGACUGGUACAGAGUAAUACAAGCUAAGUUUUUUACAGACUGAAGAUCUUUCUGUUACUGGGUCUUAGCACCACCAGCUGGGAUUGCUGGAAGAGAUGCCACAGUGAGAUUCACUGCAAAGCACAGGUGGAGAUAUGAAGGCUUUUCUCUGGAACGAGGUGUGUGCGCACCAAAAAGCACCAAGGAGGAACUGGAGCCUUGGCGGGUCCAGGAGGGUGCCCAGAGCAGCUCUGCAAGCAAAGUGAGUGCCUUCACUGCUCUGUCAUCACCAGUCCCUGAGAGCAAUCACCACCCACCAACAGUUCCUGGAGAUAAGGCCGAGCCAGCUGGGAGAAGAAAGCCUUUGAUAUUCCCUGCCUUGCUGAGGCCUGGGCAGAGUGAGGUGGGACUUGGCUGUGGAGUCCCCCUGAUUCUUCCACGGAUAUCAGCAUCUGCAGCACCUGGGAUCUGCGGCACAACUCCUUCCUCCAGAGGCCAAACUGAGUCUACAAUUUCGAGCAGGAUAAUCACCUUUCCAAGGCAAUAACAAGCACUUCCCAAGAGCAGCUGGCUAAGAUGGCUAAGGAGCAAUGACAAGAAUGAUGUGAAAUUUUGGUCCAUCAAUCCAGCUUCUGCACACAGCAGGGAAGAGACACCUUUUGAUAAAACUCCAGUCAAACACUGUAUUUUUUAUCUUUGUGUUUGUCUGUGCUCCCACUCUGAUCACCCCUCGAAUUAUUAUUUUGCAAAAAGAUAUAUAGGAGAGAAAUUAUGUUUGUUCAGAGAGAGACAUAAUUUUCAGCUGUUUAGAAGUGCACCAGGUAUGUUUUAAGCCCUGCAGACGCACUGAGAGCUCCAGAGUUUGUACAGCAGUUUUCUGCAGCACCGAUUUAUUCUAUUUUACAGUCAUGCCCUGGGGUACCAGGUAGGCUCAAUAUCGGGAGUGGGAGAAGCAGACCUGGAAGAUGCUUUGGGUACAGCCCAGCCAGGUUUCUGCAGCCUGCAAACGCUGGCCUUGCACUACAAACCGGUCUGCUGUUGCCAUCUGCUGGAAAAAUCCCCAGCGGAUAUUUCCAAACAUGGCGAGGAGUUCAGCUCCUGUUACAGAGAUACUAGGGGCUUUUUGUGCUUUUUAGGACAGGCUUUUCUCCUCUCGGUCCUUGUGAUCUGCCAAAGAACAAUGUGUGCAUCAGGCUGUUACCACUCUGCACAGUGAAACACUUUCAACCCAGGCCAGUGUAAGAGCAAAACAAUUCUUCCAACUUUCCUGCUACUAGAGAGGCAAAAAAUUAUCCUUCCAAAGGAAUUCAUCCUUCCUCUCUCUUACAACUCUCCUGCUUCAUCACACCAUAGAACGGUUUGGGUUGGAUGGGACCUUAAAAACGACCUAGUUCCAACCCUCUGUCCUGGGCAGGGACACCUUUCCCUCGACCAGGCUGCUUUGCUGUGCUCCCAGAUGUGUUACCCGAGCUGAGCAAUCCCCAUUCCACACGUUCACACAGAGACCACACAGACUUUUACACAAGCAGAAGUCCUAAAGGUCCUGUUCAUCCCAACACAUUAAAUCUAGAAUUUAUUUCUUCUUCUACACUGUUUGCACUUAUAUCUAUCUCAAACUAUCACAGAAAAAUAUUUCUGCAGCCUGCUCCUGUGGGAUUUUCAGAGGCAUUGGAUAUCAUUCCCUUUUCCCUCAGAUAUCUUGUCCUCGCAGCAGGAGUCUUCAAAAAUCCUUUCCUUCUCUUAAAGAUUCUGUGGCUCAUCAUUCUGUAAAGUGUAAGAGCGCAUAGUAUCGUGGGACAGGCGAAAUCCCUUCUUGCUUGCACGCAGCCUUAAGCCAGACAGGCUGCUGGUUGCCACGGGCAUCCUUAACUCCGUGUCAUCAGGCCCAGUCUAAUCUGCGAGGUGUAAUUGCCGUGGCAUUAAAUCCGUCGCUGGUGGCUGAUCACCUCCAGCUCGAAGGAUUACUCGGCCCGGAGCUGGUGCUAACAAAGGCGGGACGCGUUCAGGAAACGUCGCUGCUGCUGCUGCUGCUGCUGCUGGUGCCAGGGCUUUAAAGUGUCUGUCAAAGGAGGAGUCGAUGGGCUGUGAAUCCUCCCCCAGCAGAGAUGAGAAUAACAGGACCCGUGACUGCGCUGUCUCCGAGCUACACCUCCACUGCCUGAAAGCUGUCCUGCCGUGUGCCUUUGAACUACAGAACAGGGAUGUUUAGGGCAUAAACCCUGGCCAGGGGUGACGGGCUGUUUCAGGCAGCACAGGGAAUUGGUGCCGCUUUACCUGGUGGAGAAGGUGUGAAAGCGAGUUAGCCCCGACCCAAGACAGCAUUGACUGUGUUCAUUGGCCUCCAGCUGGCUCAGCGUGGGGACAGAGACAACUUGCACCUUUGCAAGCCUCCUUUUUAUUUAAAGAACCUCGAUUAACCCUCACUAGCAGAAUUAAGCAUCUUCAGUUUCAAAACUAACAUAUGCAGACCCCAAGCAUCUACUGCAGCUUGGGGGACUUCUAGAAUGGGAGAGCACGGAAUCUGCCCCCUCUCUGUGCCAUCCAAACUCCUGCCUGAUGCAGAAAUUGUAAUGGUAUUAUUAAGGCAUGUCCUCAAUGUGUCUCUUAUUAUCUUGCCAUUCGUGAAGCCCGAGGUUGGCUUGUCCUAGUUGGACUUCUGAUGUAGAGGAGAUGAAUUGCCAACUCACAUGGAAGUUUGUACCCACUGUGGAGUGACUUGUCCUAUAAAAUUUCUGUCAUAGAUUUCUGUGGCUCUGCUCCAUAAAGAAUG